AGCGAACGCUGGCGGCAGGCUUAACACAUGCAAGUCGAGCGGGCCCUUCGGGGUCAGCGGCAGACGGGUGAGUAACGCGUGGGAACGUGCCCUUCGGUUCGGAAUAACUCAGGGAAACUUGAGCUAAUACCGGAUACGCCCUUAUGGGGAAAGGCUUGCUGCCGAAGGAUCGGCCCGCGUCUGAUUAGCUAGUUGGUGAGGUUAUGGCUCACCAAGGCGACGAUCAGUAGCUGGUCUGAGAGGAUGAUCAGCCACACUGGGACUGAGACACGGCCCAGACUCCUACGGGAGGCAGCAGUGGGGAAUAUUGGACAAUGGGGGCAACCCUGAUCCAGCCAUGCCGCGUGAGUGAUGACGGCCGUAGGGUUGUAAAGCUCUUUUCUCCGGGACGAUAAUGACGGUACCGGAGGAAUAAGCCCCGGCUAACUUCGUG
rnacentral:rRNA from 1 species